CAUCAAACAUAAUUAUUCCUUUAUUGAAAAUUCAGUAGUUAAAAAUUUUAAUGAUCUUUAGGCGAUAACUAAUGAUCUAUAAAACAGGCUUCAGAUUUGAUUGAGGGACAAAUUCUACAAACAGGCAGAUAUGCAGACUAAAGUAUUUGUAGUGGUUCUAAUUGUAGCGGUAUUGCUAAUAACCGCUGAAGCACAAAGCUGCAGGAAGAAAUGUGAAAACAAGGACGAUAAGUGUACGAAAGAAUGCAGAAAAAACCAUCCUAAUAACCAUGAUAAGAAGAAAAAAUGUUUCAACAACUGUGAUGACGCGGAAAGAAAGUGUAAAAAGAAGUGCAACAAACGUGACCUGUUUUCUGACCUCGAAUUUGACCUGGAGGAAAAUCAGUAAAAGAUUCUAUAAUGCAGUCAAAACGAAAAUAUUAUUAAUAAAUAUAUGAAAAGGCAUUUA